GUGCAUUUAUUGAAUCAGAUCCUGAUUUAAUGAAUCAGAUCAUGUCGUGUAUAUGGAGUCUAAAGGAUUCGUCGAGCAUGGAUGUUAACAGAACUUUCACCUUGAUAGUGAAGUCAUAGUUCAAGGAGAUAGACAACAUGCCAGGAACACGAUCCGGUAAUACCGGUCACAGUCAAUGCAAAGAUGAAGCAACAGCUAUGAGCGAAACGAUUAGACCCGGUAAAAGUAAUCAUGGUCAAUCUUCCCCAUCAGAUGAAGCUAUAAAAAAAAU